ensembl:lncRNA
UUUUUUUUUUUAACCUAGAAAACAUGUUGGCACCAUUGACUGAUUAAAAGAAGCCCUGCUCUGCUCAGGUGUUGGGCAGCUUGUCUACAUUUUUGCCAAAUGACUCAAAAUAUCUAAAGGGACAACUCCAAUUUAAAAGGCGGGGGGGGGGACUGCUUUUUUAUAACUUAACCUAUUUUGUUGUAAAUGUCACUUUCCAAACUUACUUAUCCUUAAGUAAUGACAUCUCUUUUCUCAUCAGGUUCACAUUAUUGGUUCCUGUUUAAAAGUUUCACGAAAGGGUCCAAACUGAAAAGCCCUUCAAUGGCUUUGCCUUCUUGGGAUAAAAUACAAAUUUCUUAACAGGAUCUAGAAAGCCAGUGAUGGUAGCAGGAGUAGCAGCAACAACAUGUAAUAUCCUUAACUGCAAGCACUAUUCUAAGCAUUUUCCAUCAUUAACUCACCUAAUCAUCACAAUUACUUUAGGAGGCAUAUACUUUCAGUAUCUCAUUUUCAGAUGAAACAACAAGAAAAAGUGAUGUAACUUGCAUCCAGGAUCUCUGGCUCCUUGGUCCACCUUCUAAUGCCUAGGCUCUACUGCCACCCUACACGAGCUGGACCUUUGAUAUUUCGGGGAACUCAGUGCACACUGCACUCCCUGUCACCCAUUAUAUUCCCUUUCUGUCACCCAUUUGGGUCCUUCUUUCUGGGGCCCAAACAUGCAACAUCUUCCUCUAUGCCAGGCCCCUACACACACCCCUCCUUCCAUCUAAAAUGCUCUUCUCAUUGUUAGAGCAAUUUACAAGCUGUACAUCUCCAUUCGAAUGUCACCUCCCAAGAGUUUUCAUCUGGGACCAGCCCACUUAAAACAGCCUCCUCCUUCUCCAUUUUCUACGACAGCACCACUGUUUAUUUCCUUCCUACCAUUUGUCACAAUUUGAAAUUUUACUUUGUUAAUUCAUUCCCUGAUUUACUGUUUGUCUUUAUUACUAGACCAGAGGCUACAAAUGACUGGGACCACUGCACGCUCCGUGCUUGGAAGAGUGACCGGCACAAAAUGUGCACUCAAUAAAUAAUUACUUGUUGAAUGAAUUAAUAAAUGAAGGAAUGGCCUUUACAUAAAAUGCAUGUUUUCCUUCUGAACAGUGGUGGUAGCAUCUCAGCUACUCACUGACUGCGCACAGGGACGGCUGGAAGAGAUGGUUUUGGAAGGGAGGUAGUGUAUUGUCUGGUAGUGGAAGUGUUCAAUUACAAGAUGUAAUGACUGCCUAAUGAGGUCAGUGUAGGGGGGAUACAGGUUUAGGAUAAAUACACAUAUAUGGUAUAGACAUAAUAAUAAUAGUAUAGAGUAAUAUAAGAGAAAAUAAAUACACAAUUAUCACCCAGAAUAAAUUUCAAUCUAGGAACUGAUUCUCAUUUUUCAAGGUCAGUUAUCAACAAAUCUCUCCUUGAACCUUCCCCCUUGUUGUACCUCCCAAAGCAGCUCAAUCUGGAAGCAUCAGAAAGCAGUAUUAGAAAGAUCUUCCAUGCCCCUGGGCUGGAAACUGCCCAUCUGUCACUUGCAAUCAUUUGGUUUCAUUCUACCUGCUGAAACCAGGUAGAAUCCAUGAAAGACCUUUGUUCCAAGACACAAGUAUGUGUCCCUGUUAAAGUACCCAGGAUAGAGCAAAAUGCCCUGGUAGGAAUAAACAGUUCAGAGUGAGGUAAUUAAGAGCAGUAUGUCUUCCCUUAAUGAUUCCACACUUUUUCUUAGGUGGCCACAGUCCUUUUUUGAAUAAAAUGAGAUAAAAAUAAAUUUUUUAAAAUUACCAAAAUAUUAAACAAUAUCUUUACGUAUUCAUGAACAUGUAUUCAUGUAUUCAUGUACAACCUCCUGAUUGAUUCAUAAAUUACUUACAGACAGUCCACAAAUGCUUCCAUGAGGUCAUUCCUAAUUGUGAAACUGGUUUCCUGGUUCCUUCCAGAGGAAAGUUUUUUCCCCAAUUCCCCAUUAAAACAUAUUUUUGUUCAGUUCAGUGUUCUCAGUUGUGGGUGAAUAUGCCCUUCAGGAGACCUCAGGCAGUGUCUGGAGAUAUUUUUAGUUCUCCUAACUGGUGGUGGGGAUGGGGUUCUAUCUGCAUCUAGAUAGAUGAGGAGAGGCUCAGAUGCCACUAAAUACCCUACAAUGCAUAGGACAGUGCUGCCUCCCACACUCUUAGACACCCCUCCCUUUCGACACAAACCAAAGAAUUAUCACCCCCCCAAGUCAACAGUUCCCCAGUGAGAAACUCUGCCCAAGAUUCUCAGGGGAACAGUACUGCCCCCUUUGGGGAACUCUGGAAAUUGGUGGGGUACUUUUUUGUUACCAUGGUUAUCACUAUGUCAUGCAAUCCACAGAAAACCACAUAUUGAGUAAUUACUCUAUAACCCAAAUGGCUUUAAAAUUCAUUCUUCAUUUAUGCAGGAAAAAAACACAUAUAAUUAUCUAAGCUUAUAACCUAAAUUUGUUUUACUAUGUAUGAAUGAAAUUCUUAUUUUUGCAUGGAUUUACAUUAUAUUUAGUUCUCCAGGAAUGCAACUACCAUGUACAUUAAGACAAGUAGAUACUUCAUUUUGUAGGAAACUUUACAGACAGUUGUUUACCAUGUUGAAAAAUUGGGUCACUUGACAAAAAUACCAUUAUUGACCAGUACCAACUAUAAGUUUUCAGUUGUUACAUGAAAUGAUUCUAGAAAAAAGUACAAUGUUUUGCAUCUUCAGUUUAACUUACUGUGUAGUCCUUUCCUACAGUCAUCAUCAACUUGUUCGAUCUAAGACCUUACUUAGUACACCAUACAUGAUUUGAUUAUACUUUACUUUCUCUUUUUAAAUUUUAUCUUUAGGGUACUACAUACAUACACAUGAUUGUGCAUUUGGAUGGGCUAUAUUGUCUGUGCAUUUCCUUUCAGGGUAAUAAGGAGGUAUAAGGAAAUAGCUGACAUGAAGAGGAAAGCAUUGAGUAUAUUAGGAUUAUAAACCCUUUCUCUUGCCCAUCAUAGCUUUUUGGGAUCUUGCUUCUGUUUCUCAAUAUAAUUACCAACACUUAUAGCAUUCUGCUCUCUGAAAAUCUGAUUAAGGUGCCAUUGAUAUCUUCACCCAAAUAAUUGAUAAAGAAGCUUGUUACCGAGCUAAUGGCUAAUGUUAGGCUGUGGAAUUCACUUUACUGCACUUCCUCCAUGGAAUUCUGCCUCUACCUUUUAAGCUAUCUUUAUACAACUUGGUACCAAAGAUGGCUCUGGAAAAUUUCCACAAAGCAAAGGCCAAUCACCUGUUCCAAUGGAGCCAUUCUUUGCUGACCCCUCCUCCCACUACUGAGAGGAUAUUUCCAGUAAAGUUUCUAUGAAAUGAAUUGGCCAUGUGAAUUAUUCCUAAAUCUUUUACAGAAAUGAGAAGAUAAGCUUUCUAAAGAAAAAAAAAACCUGACACCAGAUGGAUAGGAAGCAAGCAAAGCAAAGAAAUAUUCAAUCUAGAGGAGAACAGAUAUGUGUAUAUGGGUAGCACAAGUGUUCUGACAGAUUUUUCUUUCCAAAAAGCCUCAUUGAGUCCAUACUGAACAAUAAAUAUUCUAUAUCAGCAAGAAGCCCAAAGCCAUUCCCAGAAAUCUGGAUUCUUUGAAGUAUCUUGGGUAAGGAGUGUUUGAAAAUUAAAUCUAUUCAAAUAGAAUAUACCCAUACUAUCAUUAUGCCUUUAAGUUACAUUUUCAAAUGAUAAGUGGACUUCCUUUAUUACAUAAUUUAUUUUAUAUAAAACCAAACCACCAAUAUGACUAUUUAACGAAUUCAUACUACCUUUCUUUUCAAUGCUUCCUAAGUGUUUAAGGAAAAGUUUAAAUUCUGAGUGGAAGGAAUACAAUUUCUAUUAUAGGAUUCAUUAACAAAAACCCUCUAGUUAGGUCUCAAAGUACAUGUGUGUGCACCUUUGCUUGGGGUACAAGUGAGAGAAAUACAUAAUUUCUCCUUUUAAAUAUAUAAAACUAUGUCAAUAACAACAAAAAAUAGCCUCUACCCAAAUACAACCCUGCUGUUUUGAAAUGUAUAAUUCUAAUUGACUGAAACAUUUAGAAAUUUUCUACAUGUAUUAGUAUUUUGACAUUAUUUAGAUAAAUGCACCAAAGAAAAACUGCCUUUAUUGUAAGAUGUCUAUUUGAGGUCUAUUCCACUCGUUCCCUGUAACCCUAAGGAAACAAUUUACCAAAAUUAUAGGGAAGUAAAGUGUUGAAAUUACAGCAUAAAAGUUUCUUCCCCCCUAAAAUUACAGGUAGGAAAACUACAGUCUACAGAAAUGAAAAUCACUAGUUGUCUCUGGUUUUAAGCCCAAUUUUGGUUUCCUAUAAAUCUUUAUAAAACUUACACUUUGAAAACAAGGGAACCAUAAACCACCAGAGAUCUGUGACAUUUCGUGGAACCACAAGAGACUAAUACUUUCAUCUGAAUCACAGGAUUAUCAGUCAACACCGUAUCCUUUCCUACAUAAGAAAAGGGGUGGGAGAAGGGGGAACAUCUGGAAAAGGCAGGUGAAAAGCCUCUGAAAGACCCUGCAUCGUCACCUAGCUAUUCUAUCCUUCACCUCUCACCUCAGCCAAAACUGCUUUUCCAAGGGCUCAGCAGACUUCAGAAGUCACAGCUUUCUAUCUUGGGCUUGAAGGAAGAUUUAAAAAAAAAAAAAAACAGAUGGCAUGGUACAGAGUUGAAUACCGCCCUCUUCCCCAAAUUCAUCAGGAACCUGUGAAUGUGAAUUGGAAAUAGGGUCCUGGUAGAUGUGAUCAAGAUGAGGUCAUCCUGCGUGAGGGCAGGCCCUAAAUCACACAGGGAAGACAGUGGUGUGAAAAAAAAGCAGAGAUUUGGAGCAAUGCACCUACAAGCCUGAAACACAAAACAGCUCCAGCAACCACCAGAAGCUCCAAAGAGGCAAGGAAAGAUAGUUCUCUAGAGUCUUCAGAGAGAGCACAGCCCAGUUGGUACCUUGAAUUCAAAUUUCCAGUCUUCAGACUGUGAAAGAACAUAUCUGUGUUUUUUUUUUUUUUUGUCUCUUUUUUUUUUUUUUUUUGGUCUUUUUAGAGCUGCACCUGCAGCAUAUGGAGGUUCCCAGGCUAGGAGUCGAAUUGGAGCUGCAGCUGCCAGCCUA